rnacentral:lncRNA from 1 species
GUCGUUCAAUGUGUCGUCCUUUUAUAUCGUUUUAAGUUGUUCAUGUCAUGGGCUAUGGCUGGUAGAAAAGACGAGUUAUGGGAUGCAAGCCGUGAUCGGGAUAGCAUUCAUGUUUAUGUAGAAUGUGAAGAAAACGACGGGUAUGAUGACGAGCUCGAUUUCGACGACGAAAUUCCUUUGGAUCUAUCUUCUUUGGCACCGACAGACGAAUGGUAAGCCAAUGUUUUAGUAUG